UAAGGUCUAGUGACACUUUACCAGAUGGGGUCAAAUGACAUCCGUGAAGCAGGAGCCAUCCAUCAGAUCACUUUGUGUCGUUUCCCUUCCACUGUGACGCCUCUGCAAGAGCAGCAGUCAUUUCCUCUGUUACCUCUGGAUCAUAGAGAGCUUUAAAUUCCAAUCACAGCGCAGCACUCCACAGUGCAAAUGGCAACAAGGUCAACCAAGAUGGUAAAUGACUGCAAAGAAAUAAGGAAGACACAAAGAUAAAGAGAUUCAACCUUUCCAAGGAGAUCAAUAUUGGCUUUCUCAGAAACCCACUUGAGCUGUAAUUCAUUUCUGAGGAGAUCAAUGCCUCUGUAACUCAUCUCUGAUAGAGCAGAAACACCAUCACCUCCGUAACUCAUUACCGAUGGGCCGGUGAUGAUUCAGCAGCAAACCCCAGCAGAGAACAGCCAGGUCAAUUACACAUGAAACAACCAAGACAGACGCACAAGGAGCACAGGUCUGAUAACCUGCAGCCAGAACAGCAUGAUCUGGUAUAAGUGGUCACCACUAUCUACGAGCACAUGCAAUGAGAGGGUUAAGUCCUAUUCAGCAUUCAUCGCACUCCAG